rnacentral:rRNA from 1 species
CGCGCCGAUAGCACGUUGAAUGUACCCGUUCCCAAUAAAUCACUAAUGUUAAGCAACGUUGCUCGUGGUUGGUAUCCGGAUGGGUGACCAUUUGGGUAGUCGCGUGCUGGCUUUU